GACGAACGCUGGCGGCGUGCUUAACACAUGCAAGUCGAACGGAAAGGCCCUGCUUUUGUGGGGUGCUCGAGUGGCGAACGGGUGAGUAACACGUGAGUAACCUGCCCUUGACUUUGGGAUAACUCCAGGAAACUGGGGCUAAUAUCGGAUAGGAGCUCCUGCUGCAUGGUGGGGGUUGGAAAGUUUCGGCGGUUGGGGAUGGACUCGCGGGUUAUCAGCUUGUUGGUGGGGUAGUGGCUUACCAAGGCUUUGACGGGUAGCCGGCCUGAGAGGGUGACCGGCCACAUUGGGACUGAGAUACGGCCCAGACUCCUACGGGAGGCAGAAGUGGGGAAUAUUGCACAAUGGGCGGAAGCCUGAUGCAGCAACGCCGCGUGCGGGAUGACGGCCUUCGGGUUGUAAACCGCUUUCGCCUGUGACGAGGCGUGAGUGACGGUAAUGGGUAAAGAAGCACCGGCUAACUACGUG
rnacentral:rRNA from 1 species